rnacentral:tRNA from 1 species
GGGGAUAUAGCUCAGUUGGUAGAGUGCUUGCCUAAAAUGCAAAAAGCCCUGAGUUCAAUCCCUAGCAUCAUUC